rnacentral:rRNA from 1 species
AGUGAACGCUGGCGGUAGGCCUAACACAUGCAAGUCGAACGGCAGCACAGUAAGAGCUUGCUCUUACGGGUGGCGAGUGGCGGACGGGUGAGGAAUACAUCGGAAUCUACUUUUUCGUGGGGGAUAACGUAGGGAAACUUACGCUAAUACCGCAUACGACCUACGGGUGAAAGCAGGGGAUCUUCGGACCUUGCGCGAUUGAAUGAGCCGAUGUCGGAUUAGCUAGUUGGCGGGGUAAAGGCCCUCCAAGGCGACGAUCCGUAGCUGGUCUGAGAGGAUGAUCAGCCACACUGGAACUGAGACACGGUCCAGACUCCUACGGGAGGCAGCAGCGGGGAAUAUUGGACAAUGGGCGCAAGCCUGAUCCAGCCAUACCGCGUGGGUGAAGAAGGCCUUCGGGUUGUAAAGCCCUUUUGUUGGGAAAGAAAAGCAGCAGGUUAAUACCCCGCUGUUCUGACGGUACCCAAAGAAUAAGCACCGGCUAACUUCGU